AUUGAACGCUGGCGGCAGGCUUAACACGUGCAAGCCGAGCGGGGGAAGGUAGCUUGCUACCGGACCUAGCGGCGGACGGGUGAGUAAUGCUUAGGAAUCUGCCUAUUAGUGGGGGACAACAUCUCGAAAGGGAUGCUAAUACCGCAUACGUCCUACGGGAGAAAGCAGGGGAUCUUCGGACCUUGCGCUAAUAGAUGAGCCUAAGUCGGAUUAGCUAGUUGGUGGAGUAAAGGCCUACCAAGGCGACGAUCUGUAGCGGGUCUGAGAGGAUGAUCCGCCACAUUGGGACGGGGACACGGCCCAGACACCUACGGGAGGCAGCAGUGGGGAAUAUUGGACAAUGGGGGGAACCCUGAUCCAGCCAUGCCGCGUGUGUGAAGAAGGCCUUAUGGUUGUAAAGCACUUUAAGCGAGGAGGAGGCUACUUUAGUUAAUACCUAGAGAUAGUGGACGUUACUCGCAGAAUAAGCACCGGCUAACUCUGUGCCAGCAGCCGCCGUAA
rnacentral:rRNA from 1 species